rnacentral:rRNA from 1 species
AGUGAACGCUGGCGGCAGGCCUAACACAUGCAAGUCGAGCGGCAGCGCGGGGGCAACCCUGGCGGCGAGCGGCGGACGGGUGAAGAAUUCGUCGGAAUCUGCCUUUUUGUGGGGGAUAACGUAGGGAAACUUACGCUAAUACCGCAUACGUCCUACGGGAGAAAGUGGGGGACCGCAAGGCCUCACGCAGAAAGAUGAGCCGACGACCGAUUAGCUAGUUGGUGGGGUAAAGGCCCACCAAGGCGACGAUCGGUAGCUGGUCUGAGAGGAUGAUCAGCCACACUGGGACUGAGACACGGCCCAGACUCCUACGGGAGGCAGCAGUGGGGAAUAUUGGACAAUGGGCGCAAGCCUGAUCCAGCCAUGCCGCGUGUGUGAAGAAGGCCUUCGGGUUGUAAAGCACUUUUGUCCGGAAAGAAAUCCCUGGAGCUAAUACCUUCGGGGGAUGACGGUACCGGAAGAAUAAGCACCGGCUAACUUCGUG